AGCUGAAAGACAAUGUUGAGAGGUGCCUCAAGGACUGUCUAACCUGAGAAUGGUGAAAAUGAAGGUCAAUCUCAGGUCCGUCAGCCCAUGAAACACGUCUCGUUUGCUAAGAAAAACCCC
rnacentral:pre_miRNA from 17 species